AUUGAACGCUGGCGGCAUGCUUUACACAUGCAAGUCGAACGGUAACAGGCCGCAAGGUGCUGACGAGUGGCGAACGGGUGAGUAAUGCAUCGGAACGUGCCCAGUCGUGGGGGAUAACGCAGCGAAAGCUGCGCUAAUACCGCAUACGAUCUAUGGAUGAAAGCGGGGGACCGUAAGGCCUCGCGCGAUUGGAGCGGCCGAUGUCAGAUUAGGUAGUUGGUGGGGUAAAGGCUCACCAAGCCAACGAUCUGUAGCUGGUCUGAGAGGACGACCAGCCACACUGGGACUGAGACACGGCCCAGACUCCUUCGGGAGGCAGCAGUGGGGAAUUUUGGACAAUGGGCGCAAGCCUGAUCCAGCAAUGCCGCGUGCAGGAAGAAGGCCUUCGGGUUGUAAACUGCUUUUGUACGGAACGAAACGGUUCGGGUUAAUACCCUGGGCUAAUGACGGUACCGUAAGAAUAAGCACCGGCUAACUACGUGCCAGCCGCCGCGGUAAUAC
rnacentral:rRNA from 1 species